UUUCGAUCUACCUUUGUAAAGUUUGAAAAAGUUUGUGCAAGUCCUAUGUUAAAACGCAAAAUCUGCGAUUUCGGCUGACCUGUCAAUCAAAAUGGCCGCCAUUUUGUAAGUAAGGCCAACUUUUUUUUUGGCAACUUUGCAUUAAAAUGUUCCUCAGGAUGUCCCCUUUAAGAAAAAUGUUGUCCCGGAGGAUCGGCGGGGGGGGGGGUGCAAUUACUCCUAUUGUCAUAUGCCGGACUAUCAGAUUUGGAAGACAUAUUAUGGAUGUAUGCGGUUCCAUCAUCUACGUCAUUAAAGCCUGUCAUCAUGUAUCGUCGGUACAAUUGGGAUUGACUAAUAUGAUCCAGAUUCCAGGUGGUGACGACUUAUAGCACCAAUAAGAUAAGUACGAAAGUAAAAAUCAAAAAACUCGCGAAGAAGUGUGGAAUAAAUUUUCGAAAAUUAAAACCGAAGGCUGUAAUCACGUGCCAAUUGUUUCGUGUGAUAAUUGUGCAGCACUGUUUCGGUUUUUUAAAGGUGCUAGUGUACGAGUAUAAUUAGCCCGCGAGCCAACUGAAGAAAUUCAUUAGGUCUUUGGUGACAAAAUUAACUCAUAGAUCACUAAUGUUUUUCAUUGCCUACCUCAUGUCGAAAAUUGUGACAGGAUAAACACUUGGCGUGUCAGCAGGCCUUUUCAAAUACGAGUGGUUUUUAAAUAAGGCUUUUGACUUAUUGCGGGUUGCAUAUCGGUUUGCCUAAACUUGAUCAGUUUGGUGGGCAUUCUUAUCAGUGAGUAUCAAAAUUUCAUAUUUUGAGCAAUUUUCACGAGGUGUUUUUGAAAUGUAUAGCUUUUAUUUAGUUUUUUCUUCAAUUUCUAAACACUGUUAAACCCUGUAAUGGAAAAAGAUCCUCUCUUCGUCGAGUUUUAAAGAAGUUGAGAAAACGUCUUUGAACCUCGACAAAGAGCGGAUUUUUUUCCAUCGCAGGAUUUAACGGUGUUUAAAAUUGAAGAAAAAACUAAAUAAAAGCUAUACAUUUCAAAAACACGUUGUGAAAAUUGCUCAAAAUAUGAAAUUUUGAUAUUCACUGAUAAGAAUGCCCACCAAACCGAUAAAGUUCAGGCAAACCGAUAUGCAAUCCGCAAUACGUCAAAAGCCUUAUUACCUAUAAUAUUGGGGUUCAACCCAGAACCAAACAUUUUGAUGUUAAGGAUGUUGUUCCUGACUCAACAACAGUUUCCCGAGAAGUGAUUAAAAACACCAAAAAAAACUCAAAUGAUUGUGCAAGAAAUAAAACCAAUAGUAGAAAAAGAAACAACAAGUGUGGUGCACAGAGCAACUCAUAGCAUAUCUCGAUGGUAAACACAUGAUCAGCAAUAAAGAUCGGAGUAGCUACAAUAACACCUUGAACGGCUACGGCUACAUUAGGCAUUGCAGACAUUUGCGUGAUUUUAACAAAGUUUCCAGGCGAAAGCUGUAUGUAGGCUUCCAUCGUGCGACGCUGUAAAUACAGCCCCAAAAACGCGAAAUGAUCACGAGUCGAGCAGUAAAGAUCCGAAUAAUCCUCAUUAUAACAGCUACAAAUGGCUUCGACAAAUGUUUUUAAAGCACGAAUCAUUGCUAACGAAUGAAGAACUGGGAUUCAUUGAAACUUUGUUCGCUCGAAGAUUUUUUAUUUUUCUGUUUCAGGAACGAUUCAAGGGAAUUAUAAUCGAUUAUGUCCUUGAUUUAAUUUCAAGUAUUCUACCAUUUUUCAAAAAGUGAUCAUGUUUUGAAUUUUUUUAUAGAUACGAUUCAUCAUUUAUUCAAAAAGUGACGAUGUUUUGACUUUUUUUUAUAAAUACGUUUUAUCAUUUUUUAUAAUCGAUAAUGUUCUUGAUUUAAUUUUAAGUAUUUUAAAUGGCGAUGUUUCAACUUUUUUUACUUAUAGAUAGGUACGUUUUAUAAUUUUAAAAAAAUAAAUGAUCGUGUUUUUUUCUCUCUUUUUUAGAAAAAAAAAUGACGAUAAAAAAAGCGGACACUUUGGCCGGCUCCGAUCCAGGACCCCCAAAGUGCCCCGCUUUAAACCAAAUGAUGAAAACAGUGUAAGACAACAGGAGUUGAUCAAGUCUUACGUUUACACAGCCUGCCAUAAAAAGUAUGGAACUUUAAUAGACAAGAUGUACCUGAAAAGCGAAGUCUUAGCUCGUAUGAGACGUGACGUCUGAUUUGUCAACAAACAUUUUUCCAAAACGGCCUCUAUCCAGGUACUUGACUUCGUGGUGCAUUUCGUGGACAUACAGUGCAAUGUUGAUGAAAUGUGGGAAAGAGAUAUACUCCGGUGAGUGGUGUACUAUGCAACCAGCCUAUCAUCCCAGAUUUUAAGAUCACAUAGUCAAGUGUACGAAGUUUUUAUCAGUUUUCUCAAGAAGUACAAAUCACAAUGUUGCCCUUUUUGAAAUGUUUUUCGCAUAACGAAGCAUUGAGAGGUAUGGGUGAUGGGUUAAUACCGCAUUGCUCCAACCAAAUUGAUCUCAUGACAGAAUUUUGUGGAAGGAUAUUAUUGUACAAGUACAUAUUUUUAAUAUCAGAAACCUUUCAUUCACAUGCGACGCACGUCGUCAUUCUUUUAGUGUUAUACAAUCUCGUGGUAUUUUUUUACUCAUUCAUUAUUUCAUUUUUUA